rnacentral:misc_RNA from 1 species
GUGGAUUUGAAGGAUGUGGUGAGUCCUGAAGCGCUAGUGACCAAGGACAUGAAGGUUACGGCUGCCGAAGUAAUCAAGAAGAGGUUUGAGGAGCCAAGCUUAGGUUUUGAAAUGAUUUAAUUUACAGUGUGUCUUUGAAUUUAAAGAGAUUUUGUUAAUUGAAAAACUUGUUAAUUUAGAUUAAUUGCUGGAAAUUCAUAUAAUGUUUUGAAACUCAAUGUGAAACGGGCA